GGAAAGGUGGCCGAGUGGUUGAAGGCGCCAGUCUCGAAAACUGGUAGGGCUUAACGGCUCUCGUGAGUUCGAAUCUCACCCUUUCCG
rnacentral:tRNA from 1 species